rnacentral:rRNA from 1 species
UACGUAGGUGGCAAGCGUUGUCCGGAUUUAUUGGGUUUAAAGGGUGCGUAGGUGGCCCUGUAAGUCAGUGGUGAAAUAUCUCAGCUUAACUGAGAGGGUGCCAUUGAUACUGCAGGGCUUGAGUACAGAUGAGGUAGGCGGAAUUGACGGUGUAGCGGUGAAAUGCAUAGAUAUCGUCAAGAACACCGAUAGCGAAGGCAGCUUACCAAGCUGUAACUGACACUGAGGCACGAAAGCCAGGGGAGCGAACGGG